UUACACAGGAUACGUUUUGUGUGGUUGA
rnacentral:sRNA from 1 species